rnacentral:misc_RNA from 1 species
GUGGGAGGGGGCUUGCUCCCGAUGACGGUAUAUCAGUCAGCCUAUGUAUUGACUGAUACACCGUCAUCGGGAGCGAGCCCCCUCCCAC